AGUGAACGCUGGCGGUAGGCCUAACACAUGCAAGUCGAACGGCAGCACAGUAAGAGCUUGCUCUUACGGGUGGCGAGUUGCGGACGGGUGAGGAAUACAUCGGAAUCUACUUUUUCGUGGGGGAUAACGUAGGGAAACUUACGCUAAUACCGCAUACGACCUACGGGUGAAAGCAGGGGAUCUUCUGACCUUGCGCGAUUGAAUGAGCCGAUGUCGGAUUAGCUAGUUGGCGGGGUAAAGGCCCACCAAGGCGGCGAUCCGUAGCUGGUCUGAGAGGAUGAUCAGACACACUGGAACUGAGACACGGCCCAGACGCCUCAGGGAGGCAGCAGAGGGGAAUGUUGGACAAUGGGGGCGAGCCUGAUCCAGCCAGACCGCGUGGGUGAAGAAGGCCUUCUGGUAGUAAAGCCCUUUUGAUGGGAAAGAAAAGCAGCAGGUUGAUACCCCGCUGGUCUGACGGUACCCAAAGAAGAAGCACCGGCUAACUUCAUG
rnacentral:rRNA from 1 species